rnacentral:rRNA from 1 species
CCUACGGGUGGCUGCAGUGGGGAAUAUUGGACAAUGGGCGAAAGCCUGAUCCAGCCAUGCCGCGUGUGUGAAGAAGGCCUUCGGGUUGUAAAGCACUUUCAGUGGGGAAGAAAGCCUUGGGGCUAAUACCCUCGAGGAAGGACAUCACCCACAGAAGAAGCACCGGCUAACUCCGUGCCAGCAGCCGCGGUAAUACGGAGGGUGCGAGCGUUAAUCGGAAUUACUGGGCGUAAAGCGCGCGUAGGCGGUCUGAUAAGCCGGUUGUGAAAGCCCCGGGCUCAACCUGGGAACGGCAUCCGGAACUGUCAGGCUAGAGUGCAGGAGAGGAAGGUAGAAUUCCCGGUGUAGCGGUGAAAUGCGUAGAGAUCGGGAGGAAUACCAGUGGCGAAGGCGGUCUUCUGGACUGACACUGACGCUGAGGUGCGAAAGCGUGGGUAGCAAACAGGAUUAGAUACCCCUGUAGUC